rnacentral:misc_RNA from 1 species
UCUCCGUUGGUGAACCAGCGGAGGGAUCAUUACAGGACUCGCAAGACUCCUACAACCCUGUGAACUUAACUAUAAGCACGUUGCUUCGGCGGGUGUCUCGGAGGGGGUUCUCCCUCCCCGAGACGCUAAACCCGCCGGCAGCCUACUAUACUCUGUCUCUAUGCGUUGGCAUCUCGAGUACAAUCAAACAAGUUAAAACUUUCAACAACGGAUCUCUUGGUUCUG